rnacentral:rRNA from 1 species
AGUGAACGCUGGCGGUAGGCCUAACACAUGCAAGUCGAACGGCAGCACAGUAAGAGCUUGCUCUUACGGGUGGCGAGUGGCGGACGGGUGAGGAAUACAUCGGAAUCUACUUUUUCGUGGGGGAUAACGUAGGGAAACUUACGCUAAUACCGCAUACGACCUACGGGUGAAAGCAGGGGAUCUUCGGACCUUGCGCGAUUGAAUGAGCCGAUGUCGGAUUAGCUGGUUGGCGGGGUAAAGGCCCACCAAGGCGACGAUCCGUAGCUGGUCUGAGAGGAUGGUCAGCCACACUGGAACGGAGACACGGUCCAGACUCCUACGGGAGGCAGCAGUGGGGAAUAUUGGACAAUGGGCGCAAGCCUGAUCCAGCCAUACCGCGUGGGUGAAGAAGGCCUUCGGGUUGUAAAGCCCUUUUGUUGGGAAAGAAAAGCAGCAGGUUAAUACCCCGCUGUUCUGACGGUACCCAAAGAAUAAGCACCGGCUAACUUCGUG